GUACUACUCCCUCCGUUCUAAAUUACUCGUCGCAGAAAUGGAUGUAUCUAGAACUAAAAUACAUCUAGAUACAUUCAUACCUGCGACAAGUAAUUCGGAACGGAGGGAGUACCAU
rfam:Triticum aestivum genome assembly, contig: Triticum_aestivum_CS42_TGACv1_scaffold_642931_T_6AS-0.224269_5AL-0.163057